AUUGAACGCUGGCGGCAGGCCUAACACAUGCAAGUCGAGCGGAUGAAGGGAGCUUGCUCCUGGAUUCAGCGGCGGACGGGUGAGUAAUGCCUAGGAAUCUGCCUGGUAGUGGGGGAUAACGUCCGGAAACGGGCGCUAAUACCGCAUACAUCCUGAGGGAGAAAGUGGGGGAUCUUCGGACCUCACGCUAUCAGAUGAGCCUAGGUCGGAUUAGCUAGUUGGUGGGGUAAAGGCCUACCAAGGCGACGAUCCGUAACUGGUCUGAGAGGAUGAUCAGUCACACUGGAACUGAGACACGGUCCAGACUCCUACGGGAGGCAGCAGUGGGGAAUAUUGGACAAUGGGCGAAAGCCUGAUCCAGCCAUGCCGCGUGUGUGAAGAAGGUCUUCGGAUUGUAAAGCUCUUUAAGUUGGGAGGAAGGGCAGUAAGUUAAUACCUUGCUGUUUUGACGUUACCAACAGAAUAAGCACCGGCUAACUUCGUG
rnacentral:rRNA from 1 species